rnacentral:rRNA from 1 species
GAGUUUGAUCAUGGCUCAGAUUGAACGCUGGCGGCAGGCCUAACACAUGCAAGUCGAGCGGAAACGAGUUAACUGASCCUUCGGGUGACGUUAACGGCGUCGAGCGGCGGACGGGUGAGUAAUGCCUGGGAAAUUGCCCUGAUGUGGGGGAUAACCAUUGGAAACGAUGGCUAAUACCGCAUAAUGCCUUCGGGCCAAAGAGGGGGACCUUCGGGCCUCUCGCGUCAGGAUAUGCCCAGGUGGGAUUAGCUAGUUGGUAAGGUAAUGGCUUACCAAGGCGACGAUCCCUAGCUGGUCUGAGAGGAUGAUCAGCCACACUGGAACUGAGACACGGUCCAGACUCCUACGGGAGGCAGCAGUGGGGAAUAUUGCACAAUGGGCGCAAGCCUGAUGCAGCCAUGCCGCGUGUGUGAAGAAGGCCUUCGGGUUGUAAAGCACUUUCAGUCGUGAGGAAGGUAGUGUAGUUAAUAGCUGCAUUGCUUGACGUUAGCGACAGAAGAAGCACCGGCUAACUCCGUGCCAGCAGCCGCGGUAAUACG